UACGUAGGGGGCAGGCGUUGUCCGGAUUCAUUGGGCGUAAAGAGCGUGUAGGCGGCCAGACAGGUCCGUUGUGAAAACUGGAGGCUCAACCUCCAGACGUCGAUGGAAACCGUCUGGCUAGAGUCCGGAAGAGGAGAGUGGAAUUCCUGGUGUAGCGGUGAAAUGCGCAGAUAUCAGGAAGAACACCCGUGGCGAAAGCGGCUCUCUGGGACGGUACUGACGCUGAGACGCGAAAGCGUGGGGAGCGAACAGG
rnacentral:rRNA from 1 species